UACGUAGGAUGCGAGCGUUGUCCGGAAUUAUUGGGCGUAAAGCGAACGUAGGCGGUUUCUUAAGAUUGGUCUUAAAGACCGGGGCUCAACCUCGGGAAUGGAUCGAUAACUGGGAGACUGGAGGACGUCAGAGGAAAGUGGAAUUCCGAGUGUAGCGGUGAAAUGCGUAGAUAUUCGGAGGAACACCAGUGGCGAAAGCGACUUUCUGGGACGUUCCUGACGCGGAGGUUCGAAAGCUCGGGGAGCAAACAGG
rnacentral:rRNA from 1 species